rnacentral:rRNA from 1 species
CCUACGGGAGGCAGCAGUGGGGGAUAUUGCACAAUGGGGGAAACCCUGAUGCAGCGACGCCGCGUGUGGGAAGACGGUCCUCUGGAUUGUAAACCACUGUCCCCAGGGACGAAGAUGACGGUACCUGGGGAGGAAGCUCCGGCUAACUACGUGCCAGCAGCCGCGGUAAUACGUAGGGAGCGAGCGUUGUCCGGAAUUACUGGGUGUAAGGGGAGCGUAGGCGGGACUGCAAGUUGGGUGUCAAAUCUACCGGCUCAACCGGUAGCCGCACUCAAAACUGCAGUUCUUGAGUGAAGUAGAGGCGGGCGGAAUGCCUAGUGUAGCGGUGAAAUGCGUAGAUAUUAGGAGGAACACCAGUGGCGAAGGCGGCCUGCUGGGCUUUUACUGACGCUGAGGCUCGAAAGUGUGGGGAGCAAACAGGAUUAGAUACCCCAGUAGUC